CCUCUCCAAUAUCUUUUUCAAUUCAAGUUUUCAAUGAAUUCCAACUUUGGAUUCUCUUUGCAUUCCAACUGUGGGUCGAUCCAAUUCCAAAUUGGAAGAUAAAUGGGUGCAGAUGAGACAAGAAGAUGAGGAGUCCGAUGAAGAAGAUGAAGCAUGAUACAACCCAACAUAUCAAAGUUCUUUCUGCUGACAGGCAUCCAAUGAAAGUGCAAAGCACCCUGGAAAAGAGGUAAUCAGUGCCCAACAAGCUGAAGAUUUAAAACUGAAAGAAAGAGGAAGCGGGAGCGUGAGAAAAAUUUGCCUCGAAAGAAGCGACAAAAAUUGGAAGCAGCAAGCGAAAUGUCAGAGGAGGAAAAUCAAAAUGAAAAGUUUGAUGUACAAGAGGAGAUAGCUUCAUCAAGCUGGGAAUCAAAAUUCCCCAUAAUGUGUUGGACAUGCAGUGAAAGGGUUCUCUAGCAUUUUAUGCGGUGGCCACAGGUGUAACUAAGAAGCUCGUUAUACUGCGGACUGGUUUACGUAAUAUGGAAAUGUGUGGGCCAUUUCAAGUAAAUGGCUUCAAAUUUGUCCUGAUUUGACAUUGCCCUUUUUCUCCAGGUUUUUCAAACAUUGCCCGCAUUAAGGACCAGCGAGACUUUCUAGAGAAAAUUACUUCCGGUAAUGCUUACUGCUAGUCAUAUUUUACUUUUGUUGUGAGUGAACUUUUAAUUUUCAUUCAGUUCUUGACCUUUAUUGUUUUUAAUAUGUUUGAGUAGAUGGUUUGACAUCAGUCUUCUUUUUCGGUCGCUUACCCAUCCACGCUUGUAAUUUGUAAUAUUUUUACAAUGCAUCAAUCAUGUAACAAACUGCUACUCCCAACUUACUCUUUCUGUUUCAUCUUACUGAGGCAAUAUCUUUGCCCCAACCGUUUCGGAGUUGAGAUGGAAGUUCCCACAUGUAACCAUAUAUGAGACAAUACUUGAUAAGGUGUGACAUUCAAAUAUGCUACUAAAUCAUCAGAUAUCUGGUUUACUUGAAAUAGUAAUUUAUUAAAAUAAAAAAAAGAUUUGAAAAUCAUUUGUAUAGUUCUAUUAUGUUUUAUGUCUUUAGUGAUGGUGUUGUUGGGACCUCCAUGUUUUGAUUAUGCCCAGUCAGGCUUGCAUUUUUCAUAUUUUGGGCUUAGAGCCUCCACUUAAUCAAAAAAGAAAAAAAGA